AACGAACGCUGGCGGCAGGCCUAACACAUGCAAGUCGAACGCCCUAGCAAUAGGGAGUGACAGACGGGUGAGUAACACGUGGGAACCUUCCCUAUAGUACGGAAUAGCCCAGGGAAACUUGGAGUAAUACCGUAUACGCCCGUGAGGGGAAAGAUUUAUCGCUAUAGGAUGGGCCCGCGUAGGAUUAGCUAGUUGGUGAGGUAAUGGCUCACCAAGGCGACGAUCCUUAGCUGGUCUGAGAGGACGACCAGCCACACUGGGACUGAGACACGGCCCAGACUCCUACGGGAGGCAGCAGUGGGGAAUAUUGGACAAUGGGCGCAAGCCUGAUCCAGCCAUGCCGCGUGAGUGAUGAAGGCCUUAGGGUUGUAAAGCUCUUUUGUCGGGGACGAUAAUGACGGUACCCGAAGAAUAAGUCCCGGCUAACUUCGUGCCAGCCGCCGCAGUAA
rnacentral:rRNA from 1 species